rnacentral:sRNA from 1 species
CCAGCGAGAGAGCGUUGCCGCAGGCAACGACCCGAAGGGCGAAGCGCGCAGCGUUGAGUAAUCCUUCCCCCACCACCA